rnacentral:rRNA from 1 species
UACGUAGGGGGCAAGCGUUGUCCGGAUUAUUGGGCGUAAAGAGCGUGGUAGGCGGCCAGGUAGGGUCAGCUGUGAAAACUCGAGGCUCAACCUCGAGACGCCGGUUGAAACCAUCUGGCUAGAGUCGGAAGAGGAGAGUGGAAUUCCUGGAUGUAGCGGUGAAAUGCGCAGAUAUCAGGAAGAACACCCGUGGCUAAGGCGGCUCUC